rnacentral:rRNA from 1 species
CUUCACCUGAACAAUAAAGCGAGGCUGUUCGAAGAACUUUCGUUGGCUCCUUCCAUUCGUGAAGAGCUUUUCUGCCGGAGCAUCACUGCCAUGAAGGCCUUGGGGCUGCGAUAUGCGGGCAUAGACGUGUUGAUAGCCCAGAAUACGGACACACCUUAUGAUACUGUCAGUCUUGAGUACAGUAGAGGUGGGCGGAAUUCGUGGUGUAGCGGUGAAAUGCUUAGAUAUCACGAAGAACUCCGAUUGCGAAGGCAGCUCACUGGACUGCAACUGACACUGAUGCUCGAAAGUGUGGGUAUCAAACAGGAUUAGAUACACUGGUAGUCCACACAGUAAACGAUGAAUACUCGCUGUUUGCGAUAUACAGUAAGCGGCCAAGCGAAAGCAUUAAGUAUUCCACCUGGGGAGUACGCCGGCAACGGUGAAACUCAAAGGAAUUGACGGGGGCCCGCACAAGCGGAGGAACAUGUGGUUUAAUUCGAUGAUACGCGAGGAACCUUACUCGGGCUUAAAUUGCAGUGGAAUGAUGUGGAAACAUGUCAGUGAGCAAUCACCGCUGUGAAGGUGCUGCAUGGUUGUCGUCAGCUCGUGCCGUGAGGUGUCGGCUUAAGUGCCAUAACGAGCGCAACCCUUAUCUUCAGUUACUAACAGGUCAUGCUGAGGACUCUGGAGAGACUGCCGUCGUAAGAUGUGAGGAAGGUGGGGAUGACGUCAAAUCAGCACGGCCCUUACGUCCGGGGCUACACACGUGUUACAAUGGGGGGUACAGAAGGCAGCUAGCGGGUGACCGUAUGCUAAUCCCAAAAUCCUCUCUCAGUUCGGAUCGAAGUCUGCAACCCGACUUCGUGAAGCUGGAUUCGCUAGUAAUCGCGCAUCAGCCACGGCGCGGUGAAUACGUUCCCSGGCUUCAUUCCGGUUCCUUGCGAAGAAGCCUGUCCCGUGAAAGCUAUCAGCAAAGACGAGAACGGUAUCGAACAUAUUGA